rnacentral:piRNA from 1 species
UCAAAUUUCAAGGUGACUUGUUUGGGCA